ACUGAAGUCCAAUGAAAGUGACGUAGGAGGGCCCAUAUAAAUUUGACGUCGCUAGAUUAUGACGCUCUUCUUGGAGACGAUUCUUUAGCGGUCGCAUUCCCUUCUCAACAUGAGGGCGAAGUGGAGAAAGAAGCGCAUGCGCAGGCUGAAGCGUAAAAGGAGAAAGAUGAGGCAGAGGUCCAAGUAAACCGUUUUGUCCGCCAUGGCUGUGAAGGCACAUUGUUGCCAGCAAACCAGGCCGGCGAGCACAGCUGAAGGACCAGGACCCUCCCGUUGUCAAGUCUGUCAGUGGUGCCCAUUUCAACGUGAGGCAACAGCGCUGCAGCAGCAGAUUGAUGCUGGAGAGCUGAUUCAGGACCUGCUGAAUGACAGACUUUUUUUUCGGGACAUACUGGACUCAUUGUUCUUAAUUCCUCAACUUUUGUCUUUUGUUUAUACUGUGAUUAAAGGUUUUGGUUUCUAAAUAAACUGCA